rnacentral:lncRNA from 1 species
AAAGUCUUCUCAACCAAAUACAAGCCAUGUGCUUACUAUUGAAGUAAUAAGCGAUGGAGACAAACCUACUACCAGCCAUAAAACACUUUCUAGUGGCAUUCCAAGUAAAAAGCUGAUGACUCACUACCCUCCAAAUGCUUUCGGGCAAGAACAAAGUUGUAGCAAUCGAACUAAUCUGCCUAUAAAAGGAGGAAGAAGCCCCAGAGACAAGGACUCAACCAAUCAAACAAACAAACAUACAAACUCUGCUCUCAAGCCAGAUUUGCAUCCAAAAGUUGAAAUCAACCCAGAUUCAGUCCUUUUUAGCGACAAGCUAUCUCUUGUCUAGAUUUCCUUAGAAAACCUAUCUUUCUCUAGUUAAAAGCUCUGCUAUCUCCCUUAGUGGUGUAGUAUCGAUUCCCUUGUCUAAACUUGUUUACCAUUCAUCCCUUUUUAGCAUAUAAACCCCUUUUAAUUCAAAGAGAAGUAAUUGCAAGAGGUUCAACCUUGACAGACAAGGUGAAAUCUUGCCCGACGCUAUUUGUUUGUUUUCUAAAUUUGUAGAUCUAUUACUUAAUGCAUUCUCCAGUAUGUAUUCAAGUUAUUUCCAUCUACUUUCCUACUUUAAGAUUUUUGUUUGCAUCUGGAUCUGGUUAGUUUAAUAAAUAUGUCUUCAUUAAAAGCAAUCUAGGACUAAACAAAUGACUUAAGAGGGUCUGGACUCCCUUCAUUUAAACAUACAAGACUAUGAACUAAAAGUCCUUGUUUACAAGGCAAGAAAAAGAACUUAAAGUGAACUUAACCCAUCCAUGACAAUCCCUUGAUAACAAGAAGUCUGAGUAACUUGGGGUGCAAGUAAUCGACUAAACACACUCUUGUUCUACAUCUGCUAUACUGAGAUAGCAGUGGCAUGCCUAGCACUCAGUUAGUUUUGAUUGUGAGCCUCAAGUCCUGUACCUAAGGCCCCACGAAGGCAUCUUUCAAAACUAACUUUGUCCUCUUCUUGUAGCACAUCAACAAGCAAGAGCCCGAAUACACAUCCAAAGUGCCAAUCCCUUGGGGAGCUAUGCUAAGGUCCGAGGACCCUUCUCCAGAGAAAUCUUCGCCCGAACACCUAGCAUCUUCUUUGGCGCGGGAAACUUUUGAUCUUGUGCUUGUGUUGAUAUAGAGCAUUUGGAAGGAACAAUAUAAUUUGUAUGGAAAGGAACAUCUCUGUCCCCAAUGGAGAUUCAUUGCAAAAAUCAGUCCUGGCUUCAGGAGUAUAAAAGUGUUGGAAGUAUGCCCACAAAGCCACUCAUUUGAUGUAAUAGCUUUUUGGAAUACUUAUUGUGUUAAACUUUUAUAUGUUUAAUGAAGGGCAAAGCUUAUUGUUAAU